GAGGAGGAGGAGGAGGCAGGAAGAAGGGCAAGGAAGAACAUAAAAAAAACAUAAUAAUUCAGCUCAGCAAUUACAAACGCUAAUUAGAGCAAAAACCUAAUAAUUAACCUCUAAACGAAGGCGAUAACGCAACACUUAAUGAGGUCGAUUGAGAUAAAAGGUCCUUGCCCUAGACAAAAAAUACUAGGACACGUAGCAAAGGGUACAAACUGGAUACAUUUACGUUCAGCAGGUUUGAGGUCGUUUGCAUUUAUUAGAGUUUAGACAACCCUCAACAUCCUCAACAAGACCUCUCUCAUCCCUCCUCAGAUGAGUCCUAGUCCUUCGUGACAGAGUCCUCUCUAUUCUAUAUCAUCCAGGUAAAAUAAGUACUCGUAUGUCCAGGAAGGGAAACGACAGGGUGUCCAUCUUUCUCUAUCCAGACACUCCCUCCUUGCCUGCUCAAAGUUUCUCAAGGAUCUUUCACCCCUCUCCCUAACGUACUCCUGCACCCUAUCUCUCCAUUUCACUGGAGGUCGUCCUCUAACGUUCCCUCCCUCUAUCUCACUCACAUACACCCUCCUGGUCAUCUCACUCUCCUCCAUUCGCUCCAUGAGGCCAAACCACUUUAAAGUCUGUCGCUUCACUUCUUCCACCACUCCACACUUCUUUCCUUCAUCCACGUGACACAUUCCAAAACGCUCAUACACACUUUCAUUACUCAUUCCAUCCAUUCUACUCACACCACAUGCACUCCUCAAAUAACUCAUUUCCACUGCCUGCACUCUAGGUUCAGGAAGGAGACAGGUACAAAAAUAGGUUCAGGAAGGAGGUAGGUACAAAAAUAGGUUCAGGAAGGAAUGAGGUCAAAAGAUUAGGUACAGAAAGGAGUUGGUAGGUAAAGAAAAUGGGUUCAGGUAGGAGUGAGGUAGGCGUGAGGUCAAAAGAUUGGGUAGUUCAGGAAGGAAAUAGGUAAAAUAAAUAGGGGUUUAAGAAGGAGUUAGGAGUAAAGAUGAGGUUCAGAAGGAGUUAGAUUAAAAGCUUAAGGUUCUAGAAAGAGGAAGGUCCAAAAUUUAAGUUCAGAGGAGUUAGAUAGAGAAAAUUAGGUUCAGAAGGAGUAGGUCACAAAAUUAGGUUUCUAGAAGGAGUUAGGUUCCAAAAUUAGGUUCAGAAGGAGUAGGUCACAAAAUUAGGUUCAGGAUGGAGAAAGGUAAAAUAAACAGGUUCAGGAAGGAGUUAGGUCAAAGAAUUAGGUUCAGAAGGAGUUAGGUAAAAAGAAAUAGGUUUAAAAAUGAGUUAGGUCAAAAAGAUUAGAAUCAGCACGGAGUUGGGCAAAGGAAAUAAUAGGUUCAGGCAGGAAAUAGGUAAACUAAACAGGUUCUGAAAGGUAUCUGCUUUCGGCCACCUCUUUUGUCUUUUUUAGGAGCAGCGAGUAGCGGGCUUUUUCUUUUAUUAUUGUUUUCUUUUUUGUGUGUGCCCUUGAGCUGCCUCCUUUGUUGUGAAAAAAAAAAAUAGAUAAAAAAAUAGGGUUCAGGAAGGAGUUAGGACAAAAAUAUUAGAUUCAGGAAGGAGACAUGCCAAAAAUAAUUAGUUCAGCAAGGAUAUGGAUGAAGAAGUUACAUAAUAAAAGGUUCUGAAAGGAGUUAUGUAAAAAAAAAUUAGGUUCAGAAAAGUUAGGUCAAAAAGAUUAGGUUGAGAGAGAAGUUAAGUAAUAGAAUAUAAGGUUUAGGAAAAAGGUAGGUCACAAAAUUAGGUUCAGGAAAAAGUUAGGACAAAAAGAUUAGGUUGAGAGAGAAGUUAAGUAAUAGAAUAUAAGGUUUAGGAAAAAGGUAGGUCACAAAAUUAGGUUCAGGAAAGUUAGGUCAAAAAGAUUAGGUUGAGAGAGAAGUUAAGUAAUAGAAUAUAAGGUUUAGGAAAAAGGUAGGUCACAAAAUUAGGUUCAGGAAAGUUAGGACAAAAAGAUUAGGUUGAGAGAGAAGUUAAGUAAUAGAAUAUAAGGUUUAGGAAAAAGGUAGGUCACAAAAUUAGGUUCAGGAAAGUUAGGUCAAAAAGAUUAGGUUGAGAGAGAAGUUAAGUAAUAGAAUAUAAGGUUUAGGGAAAAGGUAGGUCACAAAAUUAGGUUCAGGAAAAAGUUAGGUCAAAAAGAUUAGGUUGAGAGAGAAGUUAAGUAAUAGAAUAUAAGGUUUAGGAAAAAGGUAGGUCACAAAAUUAGGUUCAGGAAAAAGUUAGGACAAAAAGAUUAGGUUGAGAGAGAAGUUAAGUAAUAGAAUAUAAGGUUUAGGAAAAAGGUAGGUCACAAAAUUAGGUUCAGGAAAAAGUUAGGACAAAAAGGUUAGGUUCAGAAAGAAGUUAGGUUCCAAAAUUAGAUUCAGAAAAGUUAGUUAAAAGAAAAAAAGGUUCAGGUAGAAUAUAUAAAAAGAAAAAAAUAUAUAUAUGUAGAUUCAGAAAGGAGAUAUAUAAGU